rnacentral:rRNA from 1 species
CAGUAGCCACGGUAAUACGAAGGGUGCAAGCGUUACUCGGAAUUACUGGGCGUAAAGCGUGCGUAGGUGGUGGUUUAAGUCCGUUGUGAAAGCCCUGGGCUCAACCUGGGAAUUGCAGUGGAUACUGGGUCACUAGAGUGUGGUAGAGGAUAGUGGAAUUUCCGGUGUAGCAGUGAAAUGCGUAGAGAUCGGAAGGAACAUCUGUGGCGAAGGCGACUAUCUGGGCCAACACUGACACUGAGGCACGAAAGCGUGGGGAGCAAACAGGAUCAGAUACCCGGGUAGUCCCUGUCUCUUAUAC